ACUCAAAUGAAUUGACGGGGAGGCGCACAAGCAGUGGAGCAUGUGGUUUAAUUCGAGACAAAGCGAAAAACCUCACCAGGAAUUGACAUUGAUCUGCAAGCGCACGGAAACGUGUGACCUUCGAGGGUGAUCAACAGAUGCUGCAUGGCUGUCGUCAGCUCGUGGCGUGAGCUGUACCCUUAAGUGGGACAACGAGCGCAACCCACACCGUAUGUUACAUAGUUCAUGCGGAACUGCCUCGUAAGAGGAGGAAGGAGUGGAUGACGUCAAGUCAGCACGGCUCUUACAUCCUGGGCUACACACAUCCUACAAUGGCGAAAAACAAUGAGCCGCAAGCCGGUAACGGCAAGCAAAUCUCUCAAAUUUCGCCCCAGUUCAGAUUGGGGUCUGCAACUCGACCCCAUGAAGUCGGAAUUGCUAGUAAUCGCGAAUCAGCAGGUCGCGGUGAAUACGUUCUCGCCUCUUGUACACACCGCCCGU
rnacentral:rRNA from 1 species